GGGCUGCGGGGAGCGGCCCGGGAGCUGUCCCUGGUGCUGACGGCUCGUCUGCUCAGGGCCGAGGCUCGCGACCUCCCGCCGGCCUGGGGGCGAGCCCACUCCCGCCCCUUGCUCUCAGCCUGCUUUCCGGGCGCUCCCCGUCUCCACAGCGUUGGGAUUUGGAGUCAGGCCGAAGCUGCUGUUUACCAACAGUGCAACCUUGGGGCAAGUCCUUACUCAGGAAGUCUCUGGUUCUCAUCUUCAAAAUGGGCCUAAGAGCAGUGCCUGUAAGACACAAGCUGAACGCUUGUCCUGCGUUGUUUCGUCUAGUCUUCUCAACAGUCCAGUGAGAUAGAUGCUGUUGAUACCCUGAGUUUGCAGCUGAAGACUUUAGGCUUAAGAACAGUAGACUGGAGAAUCUCACCGCCGUGGGUCUGGACGGCUGCAGACCUCUGACACCGGUUCGGGCUCUGGAGCUCCUGACCUCUGGUUUCUUUCCUGUGCUGUGGAAGGAGGUGGGCUCCUGGUGCUUGUGAUGGUGUAAUCGAGCCCAUUUUAUUGAAUCCAGACUGAAUACUUCCUCCCAACACGUAAGCACUUUCUCCUGCGCAUGAAGAAAAGGAUUUGAGCUACGCACAGUUCUUUCAGGUUUGGCCCAAAACAAGCCUGGGGGUGGGAGGAACGUCAUGGCGCCACCCCACUGGUGUUCCUUCCACUACAAUCUGCUUUCCAGUUGCAUGGCAACUGCAGACUACGGCAGCUACUACGUCCCCGGCACCAGCAUCUUUCCGCGACGCAGAGCUUCAUGGGUAUAACUCAAAUCCAACAGAUGGCCAAGUUGGGUGAAAAAAAAUCCCAACACGUUGGAUCAUGCGUGGCAAUUUACAGAGGUUCGUUUUCCACUGAUAGCAAAUGGGGCUUUCGUAAGUUGAGCCUGGCACAGUAAAGACGGGACCUUUAUGGCCACGUGUUUCUUGGGGGCAAGUGUGGCUAGCCUGUAGGGGAGGGACCAUGGCUUGACCGCGGGGACUCAGCCUUCUAAUCACAGCCACACAAUACACACAGUCACAUAUAAGUUCAGGUGGAGUGCAUUAAGUUCUCGGGGGGCAAAGGACAUUUAUCCAGCUGCUAUUUCUGACCCGAGUCUGGUCCUGCAGAGAGACAGAGAAGCAGAGCGCUUGGGGGGUAAAGUUUCUGCCAGGAUGUGAGGAUAACGGCCAACUCUCUUUCUGGGAACCUUCAGGAGGGGGUGAGUUUGCCAUCUCCAGACGUAUCCAAGCAGCAGCUGGCCAUGACUUAAAGCAGAGGUGAGCUGGCCGAGCUGACCCUGGGGAACCCUUCCAACCUUGGAAGUCCGUGAGAUUUCAGAAGGGGCAGCCGAUGGCUGCUCAGAGGGGGCCCCCCUUUCCCCAGCCUCUGUUUCAGCUGCCCAGCGGAUCUUGGGGCACCCAAAGGGGCACCCCGUUGAGUUUUCCAAGUUUAUGGGCGCUGGGCCAAAUGACAGAAGUGGCGGCUGUUUCCACCAGUGAGUACUUAUGGAAAUAGCCUGUACCUUCGGGCAAUUGCUAAAUUAACCUUCUUUGGUCAUUGAAUUGUUUUGUUUUCCCCAUCUGCACUCCUAAGGGGUUCCGCCUGAUUGAAUGGGCUGGUGGCAGAUCGGCUGAUGUCACUAAAUCUAUGUCCCCAAGCCAAGCCCAUUUAGAAAACAGAUUAAUUAAAAAAAAUAAUUGUGGGAUGGGCAGUACCAUGACACUGUGAUUAUCUUGUGAUGUUGGCUAGCAGCGUGUACUCACAUCCUAGACUGAGGACUUUGGACUGGGUGUCAUUUGGAUGUGACCAGGAGAAUAACAAGGCAUCAGAGUGUGUGAGAGUGAGAGGGUCAGACAACCAGGCGUGCAAGGGGCCGGGAAUGGGCGGGUGUGUGGUGCGUGUGCCAGGGGUCAGGCACACGUAGUGGGUGGGAUGAUUCCAAUUGCCCUGGUGGGAGCAGACAGCCUGGUCUGUUUGAACGGACAUCACUGAUGGUUUUUAAUUACCGCAACAUUUGAAAACGUUGUGACAACAAGCUUGGUGUGUUUGUUCUUUAGGAAUCGUCGAGGCUGCUGGACGAGGAAACCAUGGUGAUGACAGAGGUGCUUGGGACACAGCCAAGGGUCCCUCAGGGUUCCUUGUGUGAAUCCCAGGACAAGUCCUGCCCAGGGUGGGGGAGUGAGAUGGGGCCCCAGGGGAUUCUUAUUUCCUCCAUUUCAGAGAUUUGCUCCUUGUUGAGAAGCCUUAGCAGGAGCUCUCGGGAUCUGAUCUUCAGUUUCCCAGCCAAACCUUCCCACAAGAAGAGCAAACCCAGGCAGUGCAUUCAUUCAUUCAUCCGUCCAUUGUUGUGCUGUGCCCCAGGGAGGGGUGCAGAGACAAGGGCAAGAGCCCCUGUUAUCUGGGAGCUCAGAGGUGGGUGAGGUUUCCAGUGAGACAAGGUUCCCUGCCUCAGGUGGAGCUGGACCCGGGACUGUGCUAUGAUUAGCUCCCACUGAGCCCUCCUGAUAGCCCUGAGAGAUGAGAACUCUUCUUUUAUUUGACGCAUUUGACAGUAAAGAGCCUGAGACUUGGAGAAGGGAAUGCCUGCCUGCGCUGCGCCACGGCCAGGAUCCCGCGGGCCCUAAGUCCACACUGAGCAUGUCCCAUGCUGUUGGGGGGCCCCCGCUAAUCCUGCUAAAAAAUAGAAGAUAAACAUAAGAGAUCGCCUGUUUGGACUAUGUGACCCUAUUGUGAACCUUUCCUAAGAGGAAAGCCAUCUCCUGCCACCUGCCUGCUUCUGUUAGCACAGGCUGCGGAGAAUGCUGAAAACUGUUCAUUUUAAUAAGAGAUGAAGACGGAGGCCCCUCUGUGACUGACACUUACAAACGUCAUGACCCGACAAUAAGGUCUGUGUGAGGUUGGAGGCCUUUCAUCCCAAUAGCGAGGGAGCCGUUCCUUCCCUCAGGAGGGUCUCCGAGGUGCCGUGUGAGCUCUAGCCACCCAAGCCCUACAGCAGAUGACCUCCUCUGGGGCACAAAGACCGGAAACAUGGACUUGGCCGUGGCUCUCCUGUCAGAAUCCAUCGCUGCUGCCAGCUCCCAAU